rnacentral:rRNA from 1 species
UACGAAGGGGGCUAGCGUUGUUCGGAAUUACUGGGCGUAAAGCGCACGUAGGCGGAUAUUUAAGUCAGGGGUGAAAUCCCCAGAGCUCAACUCUGGAACUGCCUUUGAUACUGGGUAUCUUGAGUAUGGAAGAGGUGAGUGGAAUUCCGAGUGUAGAGGUGAAAUUCGUAGAUAUUCGGAGGAACACCAGUGGCGAAAGGCGGCUCACUGGUCCAUUACUGACGCUGAGGUGCGAAAGCGUGGG